UAUAUAUGGGUCAUUCCACGGGGUUGGGGCAACAGCACUUUUUUGUGUUCCUUAUGAAUUGUUAGCUUUAUCCUGAAAAUGUGUUUGGUGUUUUGAUGUUGCAAUGUGGUUUUGUUGGAAGGCAGUUAUGUAAGCAAUUACUUGAUGCAGAAAUAAAAAUGUUGAACUGCAAGUAUUAUUGAUGGUGAGACUUUAAAUGAUGAUGUCCAGACUCUUUUUUGGGGUACCAAGUGUGACAUCCAAAAUGGUCAUUUUCAGUUGAAGAUAUCUAAUCAAAAGAUAAACUUAGUCAAAUUCAAAUGGCCAUGAUUGAUAAAGCAACAUUUGUUUAAUAACAAAACAGUAAUGGGAUAGCAAAUGAAAAGAGACUUCAUAUCAUAAAUCAUUUCUACAACUCGGCAUACCACCGUUACAUGCGAUGUCCGCGUUUAUUUUUUUCUGUAACGGCGGUAAUGUGGUAAAUAUCUAAAAAUCAGAAAUCAUUUUUUCCAAAGUUAUGUGUCAGAAAUAAAGGGCAGGCAGUAAGCAACUGUUCAUCAAAAGAUUAGCUUUGAAAACCUAUUGUAAUGUCAUCUAAAUUAAUCGAGGGUCGCCGAUGUUUUGGGCGAUGUCCGGGCCAAAUUUGUAACGGUGGAUCACAUUUCAUCGCGUAUGUAAGAAGGAGACACCGGAGAAGAGACCGUCGUUGUAUCAGACGGACGGGAUGUUAGCCGAAAUCCACAUGCACAUGAACAGCUAUGAUAGCGGGCGUUUUGAAGCAUUGCAAUGGGGAAUAUUCCUGCAAUGUCUCUGUAACGGUGGAAUGGAUAUCCACGAUGUUUUCCCUUUCACAGCGACGUAGCCUCUGUUGAAGGUAAAAAUGUAUAUCUUCAGUACAUGAAGUGUCAAUCCGUUGACCUGUACUCCUGGCCUGAUGGCGAAGCACAAUUCUACCUCUAUCUAUUUUGUGACAUUGACAGAGUCCUCUUCCAAACUCCCAACUGACACAGUUGUCAUUGGGUCACCGAUCUUCUUGAAGUUCAUAAACUUGUAACCUGAAUGCAGAGAGAAAUAUUGCAAGUUAUUUCUUAUUGUCAGGUUUAGUGUACAGUGUAAUAAUUUUUUUUUUUGCAUUUGCCAGUAAGAAGUUUACCAUAGAGUUUUUAACCAAAGGAAAAGAUUGUAGUUUGCAGUGUUAUUCUUGAACAUUUAUUAGAAUAGCUUAGUAGAAAUAGUACAUUUUACUUUCUUGUUCACAACUCUAUGUUCAAACAACAGGUGUAAGUUUUUUAUAUUCAAUUUGUCCACUAAGUACUUUACAAUUGUCCUUUUGGCAUGCUGGAACUUAAUGUUUUAUCCAAUGCAUUUAUUCCAGCGAUGACAUGAUUAUAUUUUACUUAAUAUUAUUUAGAACUACAUUACCAUGUAACUGAGGUAAAAUAAGUUAGAGUAAACAAAUUGAACAAGUUAUAUGUGUAAGGUACAUGUAUUAAUGCAUUGUCCAUGAAUUGCAUGCCAACUUUGUCUUGUUUUGUCUUGAAAAACCAUACAUGUAGCUUAGAGGAACUAAACUAGUACCUUUUCCCUACAUCUUUUUCACCCGAGUAUUGUAUCAAAGGUAUCAAAAUUAUAAUCGUGUACUGUACAUGUAUGAAUAAAAAAAAACAUUUUACCUGUUCAUUGAUGCAUUUUAGAAGCUUGCCUGUAGAUGUUGUAUUUCUACACUUGAGUAAGAUGAGUUAACUCGCAUUAGUGUGUUGAUACUAAAAGAAUGGCAAGUACAUGUAAUACUAUUCAAUAUGAUCAUUACAAGGACAUGAUGUCCAUGUAACGGAGGUAUGUACAUUUGAGAGUAAUAUCGUGAAGGAGAUAUUUUAAAGUAAUAAAGAUUUG